GACGAACGCUGGCGGCGUGCCUAAUACAUGCAAGUAGAACGCUGAAGGAGGAGCUUGCUUCUCUGGAUGAGUUGCGAACGGGUGAGUAACGCGUAGGUAAUCUGCCUGGUAGCGGGGGAUAACUAUUGGAAACGAUAGCUAAUACCGCAUAAUAGCAGUUGUUGUAUGACAACUGUUUGAAAGGUGCAAUUGGACCAAUACCAGAUGGACCUGCGUUGUAUUAGCUAGUUGGGGGGGUAACGGCGCACCAAGGCGACGAUACCUAGCCGACCUGAGAAGGUGGUCGGCCACACUGAGACUGAGACACGGCCCAUACUCCUACGGGAGACAGCAGUAGUGAAUCUUCGGCAAUGGACGGAAGUCUGACCGAGCAACGCCGCAUGAGUGAAGAAGGUUGUCGGAUCGUAAAGCUCUGUUGUAAGAGAAGAACGAGUGUGAGAGUGGAAAGUUCACACUGUGACGGUAUCUUAACAGAAAGGGACGGCUAACUACGUG
rnacentral:rRNA from 1 species